AUUGUUGUUAUUUGAAUUACACGUUUGUUGUUACGUUAAAACGUGAAACUUGUCAAGUGUUUGGUUCCUAAUUGUACUAGUCGGCCCAGUAUUAAUGCGGAGAUUAAGUUCUUACAAUUUCCCAAAAAACUUGAAAAAAGAAAAGUGUGAUUCAAGGAAUUAGGCCUUGAAAGCUGUAAUUUCCAUCCAGAAAGACGCCUACAUGUCUGCGAGAAACAUUUCGAGUUAGAAAAUGAUUUGAAAGAUUACGACAAAUUUCAAAAUGGUAUUGGCUACAUGAAACUCAAACCUGAUGUAGUACUCAUCGCAAUAUCCCAGAAGCUAUUACUACAGAAGACAAAUAUCAAACUGGGUCGACCAAUAUGAAUUACAAUCCAUGUCUGGUGAAUCAGACCAAGGAGGU